ensembl:lincRNA 4930509E16Rik RIKEN cDNA 4930509E16 gene
ACUAGUCAGGACUGCUUCCUCUCUCAGCCACCGGACUGAGCUGGAGCAGGCAUAUCUGUGAUGCAGGGAAGACCCACUCAGAAUGUGAGUGGCACCAUUCUAUUGGCUGGGUUCCAAGACUGAACAAAGCAGGGAAAAGGAGAAAGCCAGCAACCAAGGAUUGAAUUUUGGACAUUAUGCAUGCUGGUCAAAUGCUCUACCAUUGAACUACAUUCCUCUGAAAUUCUUAAGUCAUUUCUAUGGUAUUUAAGUCACAGAAACGCAGAUGUGACUAAUACCCCAUCUCAGAAAAUUAUAAGAGUGUGUAGAGGUGUACAGCAGCAAUUCCUCCAAAUAACAAAUACCAAGGAGAGCAGAAGAGAAGACAUUUAUAACCAGUUGGUAAACGUCAAGGACUACUUCAAGGAACUCCAAGGCAGUGUUUCUCCUGAGGUUCCUAAAGAAGAAGGAAAUCAACCAUUCAUAUUAAGGUCUUGAAAAACUCCCAAAAUGUAGGCGAUAAGGGCCUGUUCUUUCUACCUGUUUUAAGAAGGUUUUGGCUAAUUAGUGUUAAAAACCGUUAAAGAGCUCCCAAUGGACUCUAAACAGGCUUAUCAAUAGGUAGGUGUUGAUGUGGCAGGGGUGGCAGUAGAAUUCUAAAACGGGAUAAUUUGUUAGCUCAAUUUUUCUCUCUAAAAAUGUUAACUUUGUCAGUGAUUGCUAGUUAGUGUUAGAGAUGGAGAAAGUGGCUAGAAAGCACAGUUCUGUAGCCAGUGUCUCUUGCUUCUGUGAAAGGAUACUUUUAAAAAGGACAGCUGAGGGGGCUAGAGAGAUGGCUCAGUGGUUAAGAACAUGGAGUGAAAUUCCAUCAAGCACAUGGUGGUUCACAACUAUCUAUAAGGGCAUCUGAUACCCUCUUCUGGCACGUGGGUGUACAAGCAGCAAAACACUUAUACAAGAAAGAGGGAGGGAGAGAGAGAGAGAGAGAGAGAGAGAGAGAGAGAGAGAGAGAGAGAAAGUUUUUUAAAGGACAACUGAAGAGACUACCCAAUUUUUUUUGAAAGGCAGAUGACUCAAGACUAAAAACCCUCUCUACUGAUGAAAGUUAUCUUGUUGUUUUCAGUCUUGUCAGAAAUAUCACAGGAGGUGGGCUUAAAUUUUCUUUCUAUGUUAGAGAUAUACAGUUUCUUUUAAAAUAUUUGGAAAUAAAAAUGGCAAGAUCAUAAGUUGUCACUC